AGUUGGCAGGGUAAUGGCCUACCAAGGCUACGAUGGUUAGCUGGUCUGAGAGGAUGGCCAGCCACACUGGAACUGAGACACGGUCCAGACUCCUACGGGAGGCAGCAGUGAGGAAUCUUGCGCAAUGGGGGAAACCCUGACGCAGCAACGCCGCGUGAGUGAGGAAGGCCUUCGGGUCGUAAAGCUCUGUCAGAUGGGAAGAAAUGGAUGGGGGCUAAUAUCGCCCAUCCUUGACGGUACCAUCAGAGGAAGCACCGGCUAACUCCGUGCCAGCAGCCGCGGUAAUACGGGGGGUGCGAGCGUUGUUCGGAAUCAUUGGGCGUAAAGAGCGCGCAGGCGGCUUGGUGAGUCAGAUGUGAAAGCCCUGGGCUUAACCCAGGAAGUGCAUUUGAUACUGCCUCGCUAGAGUACGGGAGAGGAAAGUGGAAUUCCUGGUGUAGAGGUGAAAUUCGUAGAUAUCAGGAGGAACACCGGUGGCGAAGGCGACUUUCUGGCCCGAUACUGACGCUCAGGCGCGAAAGCGUGGGGAGCAAACAGGAUUAGAUACCCUGGUAGUCCACGCCGUAAACGAUGUUCACUAGGUGUUGGGGGUAUUGACCCUCUCAG
rnacentral:rRNA from 1 species